UACAGAGGUGGCAAGCGUUGUUCGGAAUUACUGGGCGUAAAGGGCGCGUAGGCGGCCAUCUAAGUCAGACGUGAAAUCCCCCGGCUUAACCUGGGAACUGCGUCUGAUACUGGACGGCUUGAGUAUGGGAGAGGGAUGUAGAAUUCCAGGUGUAGCGGUGAAAUGCGUAGAUAUCUGGAGGAAUACCGGUGGCGAAGGCGGGUCUCUGGGCCGACACUGACGCUGAGGAGCGAAAGCGUGGGGAGCGAACAGG
rnacentral:rRNA from 1 species